rnacentral:rRNA from 1 species
CAGCCGCCACGGGAAUACGGGGGGUGCGAGCGUUAAUCGGAAUUACUGGGCGUAAAGCGUACGCAGGUGGUUUGUUAAGUCAGAUGUGAAAUCCCCGAGCUUAACUCGGGAACUGCAUUUGAAACUGGCAGGCUAGAGUCUCGUAGAGGGGGGUAGAAUUCCAGGUGUAGCGGUGAAAUGCGUAGAGAUCUGGAGGAAUACCGGUGGCGAAGGCGGCCCCCUGGACGAAGACUGACGCUCAGGUACAAAAGCGUGGGGAGCAAACAGGAUUAGAUACCCGCGUAGUCCCUGUCUCUUAUAC